UGGAGAGGUCUUCUCCCGCGAAUUUCUACCGCCGAAGUUGCAAUUGCAAGAGUCUCCGAUUUCGAAUCCAGAGCUACUUGGAGGCCUUUGUCGGCGACGGCGAGUUUCCACGAUUUAGGGGAGCUGCUGAGGGUUAAUUGUGUUUGCAAAAUCCUGUGGAAGCGGAUUUUGUUGGUGAAGUCUUGGAGUCGAUCUAUUCUCUCCAACUAUGGUACUCUCCUUGAGUUUCUUCUUAAAUUUUUUAUCGUGAAAAUUGAGUUCUUGCUGUAUUGAAAAAUAUUAGAGACAUUAAAAGUUAUUGUUGCUCCUUUUUUAGUUUUUAAAUUCAGGGAAGAUAUCGGAAUGGAAAGGAACUGCUUGUCUGUGAUCUACAUGACAUCGAGUAUGAACAGACACUGAUAUUUUAAUGAACAAUGAUAAUUUAUUCCUUGGCUUAAACCUUAUUGCUACUGGUCAUAUUUGGUGAGACUCGAGAGAGAAAACGUGUCUUAAAAAAUUUAAAUGA